rnacentral:rRNA from 1 species
GCGAAAACUUUACAAUGCCGGCAACGGCGAUAAGGGGACCUCGAGUGCCAGGUUACAAAUCUGGCUGUCGUGAUGCCUAAAAAGCAUUGCAUAGCAAGGGCCGGGCAAGACCGGUGCCAGCCGCCGCGGUAACACCGGCGGCUCGAGUGGUAACCGUUAUUAUUGGGUCUAAAGGGUCUGUAGCCGGCCGGAUAAGUCUCUUGGGAAAUCCAGCAGCUUAACUGUUGGGCUUUCAGGAGAUACUGUCUGGCUCGAGGCCGGGAGAGGUGAGAGGUACUUCAGGGGUAGGGGUGAAAUCUUGUAAUCCUUGAAGGACCACCAGUGGCGAAGGCGUCUCACCAGAACGGACCUGACGGCAAGGGACGAAAGCUAGGGGCACGAACC